rnacentral:rRNA from 1 species
GACGAACGCUGGCGGCGUGCUUAACACAUGCAAGUCGAACGGAAAGGCCCUGCUUUUGUGGGGUGCUCGAGUGGCGAACGGGUGAGUAACACGUGAGUAACCUGCCCUUGACUUUGGGAUAACUUCAGGAAACUGGGGCUAAUACCGGAUAGGAGCUCCUGCUGCAUGGUGGGGGUUGGAAAGUUUCGGCGGUUGGGGAUGGACUCGCGGCUUAUCAGCUUGUUGGUGGGGUAGUGGCUUACCAAGGCUUUGACGGGUAGCCGGCCUGUGAGGGUGACCGGCCACCCUGGAACGGAGACACGGUACAGACUGGUACGGGAGGCAGCAGGAGGGAAUCUUCCGGAAUGGGCGAAAGCCGGACGGAGCAACGCGGCGUGAGUGAUGAAGGUCUGAGGAGCGUAAAACUGUGUUAGUAGGGAAGAAAAAAUGUGGAAGUAACUAUGCACGUCUUGACGGUACAGAAUCAGAAAGCAACGGCUAACUAAGUG